rnacentral:lncRNA from 1 species
AUUGAACCCAGAGCCUUAUGCAGGUGGCUAGCACUAAGCUACAUCCCAGCUCAUGUUUGUUUUGUUAUGGUUUUUGAGAUGGAGUCUUGCUAUGUUGCCCAGGCUGGCCUAGAAUCCUGGACUCAAGAGAUCCUUUGCCUCUCAAGUAGCUGGGACUACAGGUAUGUGCCACCAAACCUGGCUGACACCCCCUCCCCCCUUUUUUUUAAGUUUUUUUUCUUUCUGAAGCCAGUAGUAGACAGGCAGUCAGUAUAGAUAGGUAAAUUGAGUCAGGUCAGGUCAAGGAGGCCAAUUUUGAGUGAAUCCAGGAAGUUGGAGACUGUCCCCUGAAGGAUUAAAAUGCUAAUUCCUUCAGAGCCCUUCCUCCACCCUUAUUGAGAACCUGCCCCUGCACCAACCUGUUGCCAAGGUAACCUGUCCCAGGAACUGCCCCUCCCUACAGGGAGUUAUAAGCUUGUUAGUUACUGUGUCCUUGGCUGCUCCAUCCUGUCCUUCCCACUUCAGCCCACCUGUUGCCCACCUUUUGGCCAUCCCACCUAGCAUUUCCUAGGCCUAGUCAUGUACACAGGAAGGAAAAAGAU